CCAUCAGUUUUUCCUUUUUUUAAUCAAUAAUUUUAACGGCCAUGGUGAAUCGUUUGCAAGUUUAACGGUACAGAAAUAUCCAAAUCAUAUGAAAUUUUGAUAGAAAAUUCUUUAUACCAUAUAAAACAAGAUCAAUAACUUUGAUCUAAAAUUUUAAUGUCAUAUCAUCAUAUUUUGUAAGAUUUUUAUUUUCAGCCGUUGAUUUUGAGCCACUUCGAUCACUAGGCAAAUGAUAAUUCGGAAAAUCGCAAAAUUUAUUUUCUAGAUUUUCAAAUACUCUAAAUCAAG
rnacentral:lncRNA from 1 species